rnacentral:lncRNA from 1 species
GGCGCAUGACAGAUCCACCGAUGCCAUGGCAUCUAUUUCUCUUUCUUUUUAUUUUUUAACCGUCCGUGACGAUGACACGACGCGGGUAGAACUGUGGAUCUCAAAAAUUUGUAGACGACAAUGGUGGUCCAUCAUCCAUGGCUGGGACACGGCACCAGGUAGAGCCACGGAUGCCAUAGGCUCUUUCUCUCUUUUUUUUGUUAACCGUCCGCGACGACGACACGACGCCGGGUAGAUCCGCAGACCUCAAGAAUUUUAUAUACGGCGAUGGUGGUCCAUCUGUGGCUGCGACACGGCGCCAGGUAGAGCCAC